rnacentral:rRNA from 1 species
AUUGAACGCUGGCGGCAGGCCUAACACAUGCAAGUCGAGCGGAUGACGGGAGCUUGCUCCUUGAUUCAGCGGCGGACGGGUGAGUAAUGCCUAGGAAUCUGCCUGGUAGUGGGGGACAACGUUUCGAAAGGAACGCUAAUACCGCAUACGUCCUACGGGAGAAAGCAGGGGACCUUCGGGCCUUGCGCUAUCAGAUGAGCCUAGGUCGGAUUAGCUAGUUGGUGAGGUAAUGGCUCACCAAGGCGACGAUCCGUAACUGGUCUGAGAGGAUGGUCAGUCACACUGGAACUGAGACACGGUCCAGACUCCGACGGGAGGCAGCAGUGGGGAAUAUUGGACAAUGGGCGAAAGACUGAUCCAGCCAUGCCGCGUGUGUGAAGAAGGUCUUCGGAUUGUAAAGCACUUUAAGUUGGGAGGAAGGGCAGUAAGCUAAUACCUUGCUGUUUUGACGUUACCGACAGAAUAAGCACCGGCUAACUCUGUGCCAGCCGCCGCCGUAAAAC